UGAAUGUGGUCUCUCUCUCUCCCUCAAAAUACUUUAUUGUACUGCUCUCACAUUUCUUGUUAUGAUGUGAGAUGAUACAUGCCUACCUAAUGAGAUUAGGUGAGGUAAGUGGCAUAGGCAUUAUGACAUAACAUUAGGCUAUUAUUGACCUUCUGAUAACAUGUCAGAAGGAGGAUCAUCUGCUUUGGGUGAUCCUGGAUCAUAGAGCCAUAGCAAUAUUGAUGGUUGAAUGUUUGGAGCAGACAAUGUCAAUGAUUAACAGACAGAUAAAGAUAUUUCAACUCAACAGUCUUCUUUAUGAACUUCCAACACUGUGUUGAAUAGGAGUGGUG
rnacentral:lncRNA from 1 species